rnacentral:lncRNA from 10 species
GAGCUUCUUCCCCCUUCGCUCUGCACUUCUUUCUCCUGCCACCAUGUGAAGAAGGAUGUGUUUGCUUCACCUUCCACGAUGAUUUGUUAAGUUUCCAGAGGCCUCCCCAGCCAUGCGGAACUACAAUGAGUUCCUGAUUCUGUAUCUACAGAGCCUAGGAUCAUGCCUAAAAUAAAGGAGGUUUUCCAGUACAUGUUUCACAAAUGAACAAGCACACAGAAGGCAAGACAGAUUUAAAAAUCAUUAGAGCCCAGGUGCGGUGGCUCACGCCUGUAAUCCCAGCACUUUGGGAGGCCGAGGUGGGUAGAUCACAAGGUCAGGAGUUCGAGACCAGUCUGGCCAACACAGUGAAACCCCAUCUCUACUAAAAAUACAAAAAAAUUAGUCGUUGCAGGUGUAUGCCUGUAAUCCCAGCUACUCGGGAGGCUGAGGCAGGAGAAUCGCGUGAAUCCGGGAGGCAGAGGUUGCAGUGAGCCAAGAUUGCGCCAUUGCACUCCAGCCUGGGCGACAGUGUGAGACUGUCUCAAAAAAAAAAAAAAUCAUUAGAGGUCUAGACUGCUUCACAUAUUUGAUAUGUUCAAAGAAUAUCCUAAGGAAUCAACAGAAAAAUGAAUAAGUUAUCAAAGUGAUAAGAUAAAAGGUCAAUAUACAAAAAUCACUUAUAUUUCUAAAUGCUGGCUAUGAACAAUUGGAAUAUAAAGCUUUUAAAAAGCAAUACUGUGGUCAAGUGCAGUGGCUUACGCCUGUAAUUCCAGCACUUUGGGAGGCUGAGGCAGGAAGAUUGCUUGAGGUCAGGAGUUCGAGACCAGCUUGGGCAACAUGGCAAAAUCUCGUCUCUACAAAAAUUCAAAAAUUAGCUGGGCAUGGUGGAGCGCACUUGUAGUCGCAGCUACUUGAGAGGCUAAGUAGGAGGAUGGCUUGAGCCUGGGAUGAGGAGAUUGCAGUGAGCCAAGAUCGUGCCAAUGCCCUCCAGCCUGGGUGAGAGCCAGACCCCAUGUCAAAAAAGAAAAAAAAGCAAUACUAUUGAAAAUAGCAUCCUAACCAUGAAAAACAUAGGGCUAAAUUUAACAAAGAUCAAUUCACUUAAAAUCACAAAAAGUCACUUGGAUAAAUUAAAGAACCACAUUCAUGGUUUGGGAGACUUAGUAAUGUUAAGAUAUUAACUUUCCUCAAACUGGUCUAUAGAGUCGAAGAAAUUACAGUCAAUCUUCCAGCAGGCUAUUUUGUAAAAAUUGACAAGCUGACUCUAAAAUUUAUGUGGAAAUGCAAAGGAACUAAAAUUUCCAAAGCUAUACUGAAAAAGAACAAAAGUGAAGGACUUAUUCUAACUGACUUCAAGAUUUACAAUAAAGCUACAGUAACUAGACAGUAUGAGGAUACACGCAGUGAUCAAUAAAACAGAAUUGAGAAAAAAGUCAAGAUAAUUUAAUGCAGAAAGAAUAAUCUCAAAAGAUGGUUCUGGAACAACUAGAUACUGGUAAGGAAAACAUGAUCUUUGACAAAACUAACUCAAAAUAGAUCAUGGACCUAAAUGUAAAAUAAAGUUAUAAGACUUCUAGAAAAAAUAAACAAACAAAAUAUUUUUGAUCCUGGGAAGGCAAAGAUCUCUUAUGACACAAAAACACUAUUCAUGAACAUUUAAAAAAUAAAUUGGAUUUUAUAACAAUUUAAAACUUCUGUUCUUCAAGAGACAUUAAAUGAAAAGACAAUUCACAGACUGGAAAAAUAUUUAAAAUACAAAUAUCUGACAGGACUUGAACCCAAAAUAGAUAAAGAAUUUUUACAAUUCAAAAAGAAAAAAAGCUAUUUUAUAAAAAUGGGGGCUGGGUACAGUGGCUCAUGCCUGUAAUCCCAGCACUUUGGGAGGCCAAGGCAGGCGGAUCACAAGGUCAAGAGAUCGAGACCAUCCUGGCCAACAUGGUGAAACCCCAUCUCUACUAAAAAUACAAAAAUUAGCUGGAGGUGGUGGCGGGUGCCUGUAGUCCCAGCUACUUGGGAGGCUGAGGCAGGAGAAUCACUUGAACCCGGGAGGCAGAGGUUGCAGUGAGCCGAGAUCGCACCACUGCACUCCAGAGUGGCGACAGAGCGAGACUCUGUCUCAAAAAAAAAAAAAAAAAGGAAAAAGGUUUGAAUAGAUUGAAUAGAUAGUUCUUAAUAUAACACAUACAAAUGGACAAUUAGAAUAAAAAAAGAUGCACAUCAUUAGUCACUAAGAAAAUACAAAUUAAAACACCACAGAGAUAGUAUAUCAUACUCACUAGAAUGACUAAAAUAAAAAAGACUGAUAAUACCAAGUCUUGGCAAGUAUAUGGAGCAAAUGGAAGUUUCAUAUAUUGCCAGUAGAACAAUAAUAAGGUGCAACUAAAUUGAAAAACAGUUUGGCAGUUUCCUAUAAAGUAAAACAUAUACUUACCAUACAACAUAGAAAUUCCACUUCUAGGUAUAUACCCAAGAGAAAUGAAGUCAUAUAUCCAUACAAAGACUUGUUAACAGAUGUCCAUGGUCCCUUUAUUCAUAGUAGCCCCAAACUGGCAAUAACCUUAAUGUUCAACAUUGGUAAACAGUAUAAAAUGGAAUACUACUAAUGAUAUAUGUAACAACAUACAUGAAUAUAUUCAUCAAAAGUAAUUGGCAAAUUAGUGCCCUCAAAAAAUAUUAUACUGAAUAAAAGAAUCCAGUUACAAAAGAGUACAUAUGGUAUAAUUUCUUUUAUAUAAAAUUCCAGAGCAGACAAACUAAUCUAUAAUUAUAGAAAGUAGAUCAGUGGUGGCCUGGAGGCCAGGGUAGGUGUCAGUAUUAACUGCAAUGGGUCAGAAAAGAAUGUUCUAAUGUGAUAGAAAUGUUCUGUUUCUCUUUCUUGCCAUAAGGGUAAUGGGUAAAUAGGAGUAUACAUUUGUCAAAACUCAUCAAACCAUACACUUAAACUGGGUGCAUUUUAUUCCAUGUAAACUGUGUGUCAAUACAGUGGAUUAAAAAUUAUUUCACCCCUUUCAUUUCCUUCUAAGUGUCACUUAAAGUGUACUACAGCAGGCUCUUUCUGAAUGGGGGAAUAUGAUCAUAAACAGAUAGUGCAGAAGAUUGCUGAGGAAAGAUUAGAAUCCAGAGACAUAGUUUUUGAGAAACAAAAGCUUUGCAUGCUCUUUUUAUAUAUUCUUUUUUAUACUCUGAGGUGGUAGCAAUGAUGAAACUUAUGUUUAAUUCACUAUGACAGGACACCAUGCUCCAUUUUCAUAUAAUGGCAAGCUCUAUCCCUUUCUACUCCACUGAACUUUGUAUGUCUCAGGUAUAGUAUUAAUCACAUCACAUGAAAGCUGCUUGUUUCUGGUUCUGUUUCUUUUACUAAACUACAAAUUUCUUGAGGUAAAAGGACUAUUUCUUACUUAAUUUCCCAGUUCCUAGAGCCUAUCACAGUGCAUGAUACAUGAAUAGCAUACAAUAAGUUUAUUUUAUAAACAAAUCAUUUAUUUUAAUCUUCAUGGGAAAUUUAUAAGUACUAUAAUCUCCACUUUUACAAACGAAGGAACAAAGGUUGACUUACUUAAGCUCAUUCAGUUACUAAAUAUCAGAGCUGAAAAUUGAUCUACAUUAUCAGUAUCCUUCUAAGUAAUAUCUGCUGUUCCCUAGCACUAAAACUAUUUUUCUUUUUCUUUUUUUUUUGAGACAGGGUCUUGCUCUGUCCCCUAGGUAGAGUGCAGUAGCAGCACAAUCGUGGCUCAUUGCAACCUCAACCUCCUGGGGCUCAGGCAGUCCUUCUGCCUUAGCCUCCUGUGUAGCUGGGACAGAGGUGUGCACCAUCAUGCAAGCUAAUUUUUUAAUUUUUUUGUAGUGACAGGGUCUCACUAUACUGCCCAGGCUGGUCUUGAACUCCUGGGCUCAAGUAAUACUCCUGCCUUGGCCUUCCAAAGUGCUGGUAUUACAGAUGUGAGCAACUAUGCCCAGCUCCUAGCACUAAUACUUAAGAGUUCUUUGUACCCAUUAUAUGAUGGUUAUCUGAUUCUUUUCAGUAUAGUCAUAAUUGCUAGCUCAAGAAUAUCUUCUCCUAAAGAUAUAUAAACAUCAGAAUAGUUUUUAAAAUAUGUUAUUAAAAGGAGUUUACCUUAUUUUUUUAGACCAAGGUGACAAACUAUGGCUCAAGAGCCAAUCUCUUGGCCUGAGCCUGUUUUUUUUUGUUAGUUUGGUAUUGGUUUUUGUUUUUCUUGAGACAGGGUCUCCCUCUGUUUCCCAGGCUGAAGUGCAGUGGCACAAUCAUGGUUCACUGCAGCCUCAACCUCCAGGGCCCAAGUGAUUCUCCCACCUCAGCCUCCCAAGUAGCUGAAAUUACAGGCAUGCACUACCAUGCCUGGCUAAUUUUGUAAUUUUUGUAGAGAUAAGGUCUCCCUAUGUUGCCCAGGCUUAUCUUGAACUCCUGGGCUCAAGCGAUCCUCCCACCUUGGCCUCCAAAAGUGCUGGGAUUACAUUUGUGAGCACUGUGCCCAGCUAAACCUGUUUUUUUUUUAAUAAAAUGUUACUGGAACAUAGUCACACUCAUUUAUUUACAUAUUAUCUGUGGCAGCUUCCAAGCUACAAUAGCAGAGUUGAAGAGCUGCAACAGAGACUCCUGUCCUACAAAGCCUAAAAUAUUUAUCAUCUGGCCCUUUACAGAAAAAGUUUUCUGAUCCCCGUUCUAUAUCUUUUUUUCUGGGGGGGACAGGGUCUCACUCUGUCACCCAGGCUGGAGUGUAGUGGUGCCAUCUCAGCUCACUGCAGCUUCUGCCUCCUGGGUUCAAGCGAUUCUCCCACCUUAGCCUCUCGAGUAGCUGGGACUACAGGCACACAUCACCACGCCUGGCUAAUUUUUUGUAUUUUUAGCAGAGACAGGUUUUCACCAUGUUGGCCAGGCUGCUGUUCUAUAUCUUCUUACCUAACUUUGAAAUAGGGCUUGACACCAUAUGGGUCAUAGCAGCUAGAUGGGCAUUCUUACUUUUAUUGUUUCUGGAUAAAGAUCAGUUUUAGUAAAGGUCAGAGCCAACAGUGAUAUAGUUGGUUAUAGCUAACUAAAAAUAAAAGAAAAAAAUCUUUCAAUUACUUUAGUGUGUACCAUUAACUUUGAGAGAGGUAUUAGGAAGUAGAAGUCAGAUAUGAACUGCUUUGAAUUGUGGCUCCACCACUUAAAAGUGUCUCAGGAUCCUUAGGGUGUUGCUUUUCUAGCCAGAAACCUCUGUGGCUGGUGGCACCUUUGCCCAAGUUUUGUUCUGGCCCACUGGGCUCAUUCUGCCCACUCGGCCUGGCAGGCUGCACUUGGCUCAUGCUACCAGCCUGGAUCCCAUGCCUGCCAAGGGGAAGCCAGGAAUGGAGCAGUGAGAAGUGUUUAAUGAGCAAGCUUGGGGUCUAGCCACUGUGCACAGCCAGGCACACUGGCUACUGCAGCAGGGCAGGCAGCUCCAGAAGCCAGCAUAGGCACUGGCUCCAUGUAAGCCUGCGGUUUGAUCAGAUACACCGUAAGCAUCUUCCACUGUGGGCACCCCCAUCUGGACAAGGGGAAUGCAGUGGUGCCUGGAAACUGGGAGAUGCCAGAAACCACCAAGCCCCCAAAAGGGUGUCACAGCCCUGGCUCGCGGAGCCCCUAGGUCUGGGCUCCCUGAAGGGCCACAGCUCUUCUCUCCUUCUUAUCUCCUGCAAUGUGGCAAGCUGGGGAGAGGGAUAUGUUUCAGCCCUGUUUGUGUUACAUCUCUUUCAGCCCACCAUUUGGCAAGUCCUAAGUUCUUGUCCUGCAUCCAGGAAGAAUGAGGUAUGCGGACAACUGGAGGGUGAACAAGGUGGAAAGGAGCUUUAUUGAGUGACAGAACAGCUCUUGGGAGACCCAAAGUGGGUGGCUCCUAUCUGCAGGCAGGUCAUCCCAGUGAAUGUCCAGCUCUCAGUGGAGAGGAGACCCAGAGUGGGCAGCUCCUAUUCGCAGAGUCAUGUGGAAGCACCAGGAUCCCAUUCCUACCACUGAAAUUAAACAAAUGAAAAAAAAUUAGCAUGAAAUUCUUUGUGCGUGGACAGUGACCUGAGAAGACAAUAAGACAUUUCAAAGCAUUGAGUUAAGGAUAAUGAAGUUUAUAAAAUCUAGUGGCAAGAUAUAGCUGACUCUUGACACAGACAGAGGAAAGGCCAUGUGAGACACAGCAAGAAAGUGACCAUCUGCAAGCCAGGAAGGAGACGUUUUUUGGUUUUGGUUCCUCACCAGGAACCAAAUUAAAUGCCACCUUGAUCUUGGACUUCCAAGCCUCCAGAACUGUGAGAAAUAAAUGUAUGUUGCUUAAGCCACCCAGUCUAUGGUAUUUUGUUACGGCAGCCUGAGCUAAAAAAGACAUUUAGGUUGUUUCUACAUUUUCACUAUUAUGAACAUAUUGUAUUUCACAUAUUGUAUAUGUGAACACUCAUAUACAAGUUUUUAUGUGGACAUAUGUUUUUAUUUCAUUCAUUCAUAUAUACUUUGGAGUGAGAUUUCUGGGUCACAUGGUUUAGUAUUUUGAGGAAGUGUUUUUUG